UCUGGCUCAGGACGAACGCUGGCGGCGUGCCUAAUACAUGCAAGUCGAGCGCAUUGAAGGGAGCUUGCUCCCGGAUGUGAGCGGCGGAUGGGUGAGUAACACGUGGGUAACCUGCCUGUCAGAUUGGGAUAACUGUGGGAAACCGCAGCUAAUACCGAAUGAUCCCCUGCACCACAUGGUGCAGGGUUGAAAGAUGGUUUCGGCCAUCACUGACAGAUGGGCCCGCGGUGCAUUAGUUAGUUGGCGGGGUAAUGGCCCACCAAGACUGCGAUGCAUAGCCGACCUGAGAGGGUGAUCGGCCACAUUGGGACUGAGACACGGCCCAAACUCCUACGGGAGGCAGCAGUAGGGAAUCUUCCACAAUGGACGAAAGUCUGAUGGAGCAACGCCGCGUGAGCGAAGAAGGUUUUCGGAUCGUAAAGCUCUGUUGCCGGAGAAGAAUGAGUAUGAGAGGAAAUGCUUGUACUGUGACGGUAUCCGGCCAGAAAGCCACGGCUAACUACGUGCCAGCAGCCGCGGUAAUACGUAGGUGGCAAGCGUUGUCCGGAAUUAUUGGGCGUAAAGCGCGCGCAGGCGGCUUCUUAAGUCUGAUGUGAAAUCUUGCGGCUCAACCGCAAAUGGUCAUUGGAAACUGGGGAGCUUGAGUGCAGAAGAGGAGAGUAGAAUUCCACGUGUAGCGGUGAAAUGCGUAGAUAUGUGGAGGAAUACCAGUGGCGAAGGCGGCUCUCUGGUCUGUAACUGACGCUGAGGCGCGAAAGCGUGGGGAGCAAACAGGAUUAGAUACCCUGGUAGUCCACGCCGUAAACGAUGAAUGCUAGGUGUUAGGGGGUCCAACCCUUAGUGCUGAAGUUAACACAUUAAGCAU
rnacentral:rRNA from 1 species